UGGCCAGACUCCUACGGGAGGCAGCAGUGGGGAAUAUUGCACAAUGGGGGGAACCCUGAUGCAGCGACGCCGCGUGGGUGAAGGAGCACCUCGGUGCGUAAAGCCCUAUCGGCAGGGAAGAAACAGACGGUACCUGACUAAGAAGCCCCGACUAACUACGUGCCAGCAGCCGCGGUAAUACGUAGGGGGCAAGCGUUAUCCGGAUUCACUGGGUGUAAAGGGAGCGUAGACGGCGACGCAAGUCUGGAGUGAAAGCCCGGGGCCCAACCCCGGGACUGCAUUGGGAACUGCCCCGCUCGAGUGCCGGAGGGGCAGGCGGAAUUCCUAGUGUAGCGGUGAAAUGCGUAGAUAUUAGGAGGAACACCAGUGGCGAAGGCGGCCUGCUGGACGGUGUACUGACGCUGAGGCUCGAAAGCGUGGGGAGCAAACAGGAUUAGAUACCCGCGUAGCC
rnacentral:rRNA from 1 species